UGCUCUGAAUGAUGUAGUCUUGCAGCUGGAGGUGCAGGAAUUAUAUGAGACAAGAGAGGAGAUGUAACUUUCCAUAACUAUCACAAGUCUGUGUAAUAGAACACGUGUCAAUUUGAUCAUAAAUGUAGUUAUUAUAGUUAGUAUUUGUGGUUUUUCUAGUCAAAAUAACUACCGUGGUGCUAAACUAACGUAGCAGCUAGGUGGAGCAGGCUGGCAAGCUGCGGCUGUGCUCGGCUCAUGAUUGGCUCGUUCGAAGAAGAAGGCGAAGAAGAAGGCGAAGGCGAAGAAGAAGGCGAAGGCGAAGGCGAAGGCGAAGACGAACAAGAAGAAGAAGGCGAAGAAGUGUCCUUUCUGCUGUUUGUGACAACUAUCCGUGAUGUGUCUGCAGGGCCGAAUUCAGCUAAACAUGUUGGAAAACGAGUAUCACAGUGGGACAGAGAGGCUGAGUGGACUGCUUAUAUUAUAUUAUAUGAUGCACUGAGAAUAAACGAGCAGAGAAGUUGAACCUGGAGCAGAUGGAGGGAGAUUUCACGAUGCACGAGGCCCACAGAAACUCGUUCAGACAGGGGACCUUGACAGCUGUUGUCGUUGGGAGAUGAAUAAGCAUUACCUGUUCGCUGUUCCCCUCCACUGUUCCUCAUCACUUUCCCCAACAAUGUUCCAGUCACAGCCCGAGUCUGUCUCUGGUUUAAGUCCCUCAGCGAAGGAUUAGUCAGGUUUGCCUUGCCGAGCUACAGUGGAGGGAGAGUAAUGUUAAGUAUCUGGAAAUCUAAACCUGUAUUUGAAACUGUAUUCUCUAUAUAUGGUAUUUCAGCCUUGUAAAAUAUGAUGUAUGUAGUUUAUGUUUUCAUAUUUGUUAAAGUAUUGCUCUUGCUUAUUCUUUGGAAGAGCUUAGUACGGUAUUUGUACAAUUAGACAAGCUCAUUGACCUUGAUUUGUGUGGCUGCUGGGAGGUGCUGCUGGUGCCUUUUGAUUGGUGGGUUUCUUCGCAGGCUGUGUUUACAG